rnacentral:rRNA from 1 species
GUCCAGACUCCUACGGGAGGCAGCAGUGGGGAAUAUUGCACAAUGGGGGGAACCCUGAUGCAGCGACGCCGCGUGAGUGAAGAAGUAUCUCGGUAUGUAAAGCUCUAUCAGCAGGGGAGAAAAUGACGGUACCUGACUAAGAAGCCCCGGCUAACUACGUGCCAGCAGCCGCGGUAAUACGUAGGGGGCAAGCGUUAUCCGGAUUUACUGGGUGUAAAGGGAGCCUAGACGGCGCUGCAAGUCCGGAGUGAAAGUCCAUGGCCUAACCCUGGUACUGCUCUGGAAACUGUGGAUCUUGAGUGCAGGAGGGGCAGGCGGAAUUCCUAGUGUAGCGGUGAAAUGCGUAGAUAUUAGGAGGAACACCAGUGGCGAAGGCGGCCUGCUGGACUGCAACUGACGUUGAGGCUCGAAGGCGUGGGGAGCAAACAGGAUUAGAUACCCUAGUA